UGCCUCUAGAUAAAAUAUUAGAGGUAACUCUGCCCAGUGAAAAUAUUUCAACGGCCGCGGUAUCCUGACCGUGCGAAGGUAGCACAAUAAUGAGCCUCCUAAUUAGAGGAUAGAAUGAAUGAACCAACGAAAAAGAUACUGUCUCAUAAUUAACAAUCGAAAUUUAUAUGUGGGUGAAAAAGCCCACAUAACAAUUAAAGACAAGAAGACCCUAUAAGCUUUUUAAAGAUUUAAUAACCCAAAUUAAACCUUUAUUUAGUUGGGGCGACUAAAAGUAAAAAACACUUAAUACCAAUCAGAGAUCAUACCUCGCCAUAAAUUAGCCAUAACACAUUUAAGCAAGUUACUGUAGGGAUAACAGGCUAAUACUUCCCAAGAGUACGCAUCAACGGAAGUGCUUGGCACCUCGAUGUUGGCUUAGGGUGUCUAUUUCAUGCAGAAGUGAAAUAAGAAGGUUUGUUCAACCAUUAAUCCCCUA
rnacentral:rRNA from 1 species